GGAGUCCCUGUGGGUUUACACCAAGCAGAAUUGCCACAGAGUCUUUGGAAUACUCCCCUGUGCCAGGGGAACUGGGCACUCCCCAUCUGCUAAAGCCAUUUUUCAGGGGCAGCAAAUCACAUGGAAUAGUCACCAGCAGGUUUGACAAUGCCUGUGGAAAGCCAAUUCAAAACCCAGCAAGAUGGGAGGAAAUUCACCUUUCCACAUCAGGAAAUGCAUAAUAACUGCCCUUUGAUGACUCUGAAAAAGUCAGGUUUUCAGUCCUGAAGGUGUAUUUUCUGUCUCAUUUUUGAUUCUCUUCAAGCUUGUUACAGAAACAUGGCCAAGGUAAUUUCUUUAGGCAAUUUCUUUAUUACCAAGGCAAUUUUCAAAGGUUGUUUCUGUUGUGUUUAUGGAGCCUUUUUAUCCCUUUCAGGUGUGUUGCACAGAGCUGGGUCACUCAGGUGUGUCACAGCCAGGUGUGUCACAGCCAGGUGUGUCACAGCCAGGUGUGCUCUCAGUGCCCCCCAGUUCCAGGGGAAAUCCUCAGCACAGGAAAAGCUCCCCCUGUUUGAACAGCCCCAAGCAGCAGCAGCAGCAGCAGCUCAGAGCCAGCCCUGGCCACCCCUGUGCCCUCAGCCCAGCCAGGCUGGGGUCCCGUGGCCACCAUGGCUAGGAGAUUGUCACUUGCUCUGGAUUUGGCAUGGAUAAAACCCCUCUGGAGCAGCAUCACCCUCCCUGGCACCUUCCCAGCAGGCUGUGCCAGCUGAAUUCCCUCCUGCUCCUGAGGCAGGGGCUCACCCCAAGGCUUGCCUGCAGCCUCCUUCACUGCUGGAAUUCCUGCCCAGGUGUGAGCAGUGCCAGCUCUUGUUCCAGUUGUGUGUCCUGGGGUCCUGCUCCACUGCCUGGGAGCACCACAGGGCACUGAGAAUCCUUCAGAGCUUUCCCAUCAGUCAGGGAAGGGACAAUGACACCAGCUCAGAGUAACCCCUCACCUAGAGGACUCAGCAAUCUUUAAGGAAAACCAUUUAACAUCUUUCGUGGAAGUCUAUUGAUCCAAAAA